rnacentral:rRNA from 1 species
UACGUAGGGUGCGAGCGUUAAUCGGAAUUACUGGGCGUAAAGCGUGCGCAGGCGGUUCGUUAAGUUCGUUGUGAAAGCCCCGGGCUCAACCUGGGAACUGCAAUGGAAACUGGCGGGCUUGAGUGUGGCAGAGGGGGGUGGAAUUCCGCGUGUAGCAGUGAAAUGCGUAGAGAUGCGGAGGAACACCGAUGGCGAAGGCGGUUCUCUGGGCAUUACCUGACGCUGAGGAGCGAAAGCAUGGGGAGCGAACAGG